AAUAAAGUGCCUGAUUAAAGGAUUAUUUUGAUAGAGUAAAUUAAGUAAAAUAUUUUACCUUUAUUA
rnacentral:tRNA from 1 species